UAGAUUGAAGCCAGUUGAUUAAGGCGUUUAGCUGUUAACUAAAUUUUUAUAGGUUAAAAUCCUAUCAAUCUAG
rnacentral:tRNA from 1 species